AAAUGUGACGUCAUUUUUUUGUCAUUUUUUACAAUUUCUAAUAUGACGUCACUUGGCGUUGAGGUUUUAACUUAUUCGGAUGUGUUGCAUUUUGUCGGGUUAUGUAAUGUAUUUCGGUUGUUUCCUGUAAUUAGUUAAUACUUCAGUUUUAUCAUGUACAUCUUUUGUAUAGUCAUUUUAUAAAAUUUACUGUUUGCAAAAGUAUAAAUUAUUCUAAAUAAUAGGGAUGUUCUGGUACCUAACAGAAAACCCUGGCCGUUUUUGGCACAACUUUUUUGAACUUUUGGUCCUCGAUGUUG
rnacentral:lncRNA from 1 species